GUGAGGAAUAUUGCACAAUGGAGGCAACUCUGACGCAGCCAUGCCGCGUGCAGGAAGAAGGCGCUACGCGUUGUAAACUGCUUUUAACCGGGAAGAAACCCCAGGACGUGUCCUGGGUUGACGGUACCGGAGGAAUAAGCACCGGCUAACUUCGUGCCAGCAGCCGCGGUAAUACGAAGGGUGCAAGCGUUAUCCGGAUUCAUUGGGUUUAAAGGGUGCGUAGGCGGAGCGUUAAGUCAGUGGUGAAAUCCUGCAGCUUAACUGUAGACUUGCCAUUGAUACUGGCGCUCUUGAGUGCGCUUGAAGUGGGCGGAAUGUGCCGUGUAGCGGUGAAAUGCUUAGAUAUGACACAGAACACCAAUUGCGAAGGCAGCUCACUAAGGCGAUACUGACGCUGAGGCACGAAAGCGUGGGGAUCGAACAGGAUUAGAAACCCGAGUAGUCC
rnacentral:rRNA from 1 species